GUUGCUGCCAGUGUCCUAGGUAUCAGCCAAGUACCUUCUUAAGAUGUAGCACCGUUUUUUGCAGUUCCACUGGUGUUAUUGCAGAAAGCUGCAGUUUCUUGAUGUAUUUUAUAAAAGUCGUGGACAUUGUACCAAGUGCCCCAAUGAUAAUGGGUAUCACUGUUACAUGUUUCAUCCAUAAUCGCAUCGUUUCAAUGGCCAGGUUGCAAUAUUUUGUGAUUUUUUUUCCAGUUCUUUUUCUUCGACUCUGGCGUCUCCUGGUACUGCGAUAUCAAUAAAUUGUACGUUCUGGUUUUCGACAACUGUGAUAUGAUGAUGUUGUAUUCCAAAUGAUGAUCUGUCUGUAUUCGAAAGUCCCACAAGAUCUUCACUUUCUCAUUUUCGAUAACUUUUUCCACUUUAUGUUCCCAUGACUUUUUGGAUACAGAAGAUAAUUUCAAGAUGGCAUUCGGAAAUCUCAAGGCAGUAGGAAAGCAGCAAAAGAUUGAUAAAGAGGAUGGAUAAAGGAGGCUUGUUAAAGCCUUGAAGAAGUCUGUGAAAAAUGACAAAGAAGAAAUUCAGAGAAAUCAAAUCUUAUGACAAUAUUUGAAUGAAAUAAAGCUUAGGCCAGGAAUGUCUAAGACCAGGAAUGGCAGUCCACGGGCCAGAUGCAGCUCAUACAGGCUACACCCACCUUGGCUCCGCAAGGGCAAAAAACAUCCCGAUAUGUCAUCAUACAAUGUGUGAUGCGAUUGGGUUUGACACCCCUGCCUUAGACUGAUAGAAGUAAAAGGAAGGAAUAUAAUGAUGGUUUAUUCAAUCAAAGUUAAAAUAAGAUGUGUUGUUAUCGUAGUUCUGGCAGUCCUUUAUGGACUUUCUGCUGACAUCACAACUUAAAAUACGUUGUUUUAGGGAGUUGUUUAUAGAUAAAGAGAGGUGAUAUAGAGUGAAAUGAUAAAUGUUUGUAACCUUAAUGAAGUUGAAGAAUCACUAUAUUUGUUUAUACUUGUGGGGAAAAAAUCACGUCUAAAUACAUAUUUUUUUCUUUCUUUAUUAUAUUCUUAUUUUUCUCUUUCUUCUCUCUUUUUCUUUUUCUUUGCACUUUUUAUUCCUUAUUUCUAUACUUUCUUCUUCAAGUUUAAUUAGUAUUAUAUUUUACUAUUACAAUCUAAAUAUAUUCAAAAAAAGAGUUGAUCUGUGGAAUCACUUCUGGCCAUGUGAAGUAGUAGGGGCAGUAAUAAAAAUCCCAUGUGUGCCCAAGAAAUAAACUGAUCUUUUUUAUUAUUAAAAAAAAUACAAACAGAUGGAACUGUUAUGGAAAUUAUUGUUUGGGAAUAAUAACUUUCUAUCAUACCCUUCUCACAGUCAGUGUUUGUGGAAUCUGUCAUUUUCUUGCAUACAAAGAGACUAUGGUUUUGUUUUUAAUUGCUAUGCUGUUCUAUGACUAAACUAAAGUAUAUUCUGUCCUUCCUUUCUUCAUUCAUUCAUUUAGUUCUAAUUUGCUUAAGAAAAACACUAUCCAUUUUUAAUCUUAUAGUAGUAUCUUCCUGACUGACUGACAGCUGAAGAAAUAAUCAGUGACUCUUCUAAUUCUGGCACCAGAGAUGCUAGACAAGAAGUCAAAACUGCCAACUGGAGCUGUCAAUCCAAAUUAUGUACACAUUAACAUUGCACUUCACUUUGAAGGGAAAAGACUUCAGGGAGGUGAUUUAAAUCAUAAAGAGGUAUAUUAAAUCUCUAAAAUGCUGACAAAUGGGGUGCAAGUUCUCAAAAUGCCUCAUAAGAAGGUCUAUCCAGGCAAAUCAGAGGUCCCCAACUGGUCCGUGGAUCAACACAGCUCCGUGGCAUGCCAACAACUGGGCUGUGCAAACAAGCAAAGCCCCAUCCACAGGAUGCAGGCAGCAUGCGAAACCAUGCCCCCUCUGAUCCAUGGAAAAGCCUUUCUCCACGGAACCGGUCCCUGGUGCCCAAAAGAUUGGGGGCAGCAAGGAAAACCGUAAUUUGUGAAUUCAGACAUAAAUUGUGCUGAUAUUACUGAUUGGCUGAUUUUUUUUCAGUUUCUCACAAAAUAUUAUCUUACUAACUGUGUAAAUUCAUGUAUAAUGACAUUAUAUUGGAAAGUGGCAGUGAUUGGACAUUAUAUUGGAAAGCCAAACUAAAUAUAAUGGCAUGAACAACCAGAUGUUCUUAGCAGAAUUGUUUUAAUGACAGAGAAUGCAAGCCUUGAUUAAUCAAUUUAAAGAGCAAAAGGACUCGUUUUAAAGAGCAGAAAAGGACUUACAUUCAAUAUUAAAAUGCAUUGAUAAAAAACAACAUAGUAGUAUAGGAUAAAGGUAACAAGAGAAGAGACUACAGUUAAGCAUGCUUUCUCCUAGCUUUAAGCAUGUCUAUAUCCCCUUAUCAACAUCAACA